rnacentral:rRNA from 1 species
GACGAACGCUGGCGGCGUGCUUAACACAUGCAAGUCGAACGAGGUCCACUGCGUAGCAAUACAAGGGGAAGACCUAGUGGCGAACGGGUGCGUAACACGUGAGGAACUUGUCCCGGUCUCUGGGAUAACAGUUGGAAACGACUGCUAAUACCGGAUGAACGUCGGAAUCUCGCAUGGGAUACUGACGAAAGGGUUACUGGAUCGGGAGAGCCUCGCGGCCUAUCAGCUUGUUGGUGAGGUAACGGCUCACCAAGGCAUCGACGGGUAGCUGGUCUGAGAGGAUGAUCAGCCACACUGGGACUGAGACACGGCCCAGACUCCUACGGGAGGCAGCAGUGGGGAAUCUUGCGCAAUGGGCGAAAGCCUGACGCAGCAACGCCGCGUGCGGGAAGAAGGCCCUCGGGUUGUAAACCGCUUUCAGUAGG